UGGGGAAUCUUGGACAAUGGGCGAAAGCCUGAUCCAGCGACGCCGCGUGGAGGAAGAAGUCCUUCGGGAUGUAAACUUCUGAACUAGCCGAAUAAAAGGCCUGUGGACACACAGGAGAAGAAAGUAGGCUAGGAAAAGUCCCGGCUAACUACGUGCCAGCAGCCGCGGUAAGACGUAGGGGGCAAGCGUUACCCGGAAUUACUGGGCGUAAAGGGGGCGUAGGCGGUAAAAGAAGUCAUCUGUGAAAACCUAUUGCUCAACGAUAGGCUAGCGGAUGAAACUGAAUUACUUGAGGGCACCAGAGGUAGACGGAAUUACCCGAGUAGGGGUGAAAUCCGCAGAUACGGGUAGGAACGCCGGUGGAGAAGUCGGUCUACUGGGGUGCACCAGACGCUGAGGC
rnacentral:rRNA from 1 species